rfam:Asian citrus Psyllid, Diaphorina citri - Florida Strain, whole genome shotgun sequence.
ACCAGCAGGAAUAGCACGUUGAAUGCCACAGUUCCCCAUCACUGAAGUUAAGCAACGUUGUGCGCGAUUAGUACCUGAAUGGGUGACCAUCUGGGCAAUAGCGUGCUGCUGGAU